UACGGAGGGGUGCGAGCGUUUGUCCGGAAUCAUUGGGCGUAAAGGGCGCGUAGGUGGCGUUCUUAAGCCGUGCGGUGAAAGCCUGGGGCUCAACCCCGGGUCGGCCGUGCGAACUGGGGGGCUGGAGCACUGUAGAGGGCAGGCGGAAUUCCGGGGUGAUCAGGCGGUGGGAAUGACGCCAGAUAUCAGGAGGGAACACCGGUGGCGAAGGCGGGUCUCUGGGCAGUAACUGACGCUGGAGGAGCGAAAGCGUGGGGGAGCGAACAGG
rnacentral:rRNA from 1 species